CCUACGGGUGGCUGCAGUGAGGAAUAUUGGACAAUGGUCGGAAGACUGAUCCAGCCAUGCCGCGUGCAGGAUGAAGGUCUUAUGGAUUGUAAACUGCUUUUGCAGGGGAAGAAUAAGGACUACGCGUAGUUUGAUGACGGUACUCUGUGAAUAAGCAUCGGCUAACUCCGUGCCAGCAGCCGCGGUAAUACGGAGGAUGCGAGCGUUAUCCGGAAUCAUUGGGUUUAAAGGGUCUGUAGGCGGGCUGGUAAGUCAGAGGUGAAAGCGCUUAGCUCAACUAAGCAACUGCCUUUGAAACUGCUGGUCUUGAAUGGUUGUGAAGUAGUUGGAAUGUGUAGUGUAGCGGUGAAAUGCUUAGAUAUUACACAGAACACCGAUAGCGAAGGCAUAUUACUAACAAUUAAUUGACGCUGAUGGACGAAAGCGUGGGGAGCGAACAGGAUUAGAUACCCGGGUAGUC
rnacentral:rRNA from 1 species